GGAGGGGUGCGAGAGCGGCCGAAUCGGACGGUCUCGAAAACCGUUGUGGCGCAAGUCACCGUGGGUUCAAAUCCCACCCCCUCCGCCA
rnacentral:tRNA from 2 species